rnacentral:rRNA from 1 species
UCUGUCGAGCUUGCUCACAGGCACAUCAUAUCCAUAACACCUGUGCACUUGUCGGAUGGCUUAGUGAAGACCGCAAGGUUGGAUCUAUCCAUCUACUUUACAUAACAAUUCUGUAACAAAUGUAGUCUUAUUAUAACAUAAUAAAACUUUCAACAACGGAUCUCUUGGCUCUCGCAUCGAUGAAGAACGCAGCGAAAUGCGAUAAGUAAUGUGAAUUGCAGAAUUCAGUGAAUCAUCGAAUCUUUGAACGCACCUUGCGCUCCUUGGUAUUCCGAGGAGCAUGCCUGUUUGAGUGUCAUGAAAACCCUCAACCCUAGAUUGGUUAAAACCUUUCUUUGGUUUGGAUUUGGACGUUUGCCGAUGAUAAGUCGGCUCGUCUUAAAAGUAAUAGCUGGAUCUGUCUCGCGACAUGGUUUGACUUGGCGUAAUAAGUAUUUCGCUAAGGACAUCUUCGGAUGGCCGCGUUGCAGGACUAAAGACCGCUUUCUAAUCCAUUGAUCUUACGAUUAAUAUUCUUGACAUCUGGCCUCAAAUCAGGUAGGACUACCCGCUGAACUUAAGCAUA